AGUGAACGCUGGCGGUAGGCCUAACACAUGCAAGUCGAACGGCAGCACAGUAAGAGCUUGCUCUUACGGGUGGCGAGUGGCGGACGGGUGAGGAAUACAUCGGAAUCUACUUUUUCGUGGGGGAUAACGUAGGGAAACUUACGCUAAUACCGCAUACGACCUACGGGUGAAAGCAGGGGAUCUUCGGACCUUGCGCGAUUGAAUGAGCCGAUGUCGGAUUAGAUAGUUGGCGGGGUAAAGGCCCACCAAGGCGACGAUCCGUAGCUGGUCUGAGAGGAUGAUCAGCCACACUGGAACUGAGACACGGUCCAGACUCCUACGGGAGGCAGCAGUGGGGAAUCUUGGACAAUGGGCGCAAGCCUGAUCCAGCCAUCCCGCGUGGGUGAAGAAGGCCUUCGGGUUGUAAAGCCCUUUUGUUGGGAAAGAAAAGCAGCAGGUUAAUACCCCGCUGUCCUGACGGUACCCAAAGAAUAAGCACCGGCUAACUUCGUG
rnacentral:rRNA from 1 species